rnacentral:rRNA from 1 species
UGGGGAAUUUUCCGCAAUGGGGGCAACCCUGACGGAGCAAUACCGCGUGAGGGCGGAAGGCCUUUGGGUUGUACACCUCUUUUCUUAAGGAAGAAGCUCUGACGGUACUUAAGGAAUCAGCAUCGGCUAACUCCGUGGCAGCAGCCGGGGUAAUACGGAGGAUGCAGGCGUUAUCCGGAAUUAUUGGGCGUAAAGCGUCCGCAGGCGGCAGGAUAAGUCUGCUGUCAAAGACCGCAGCUCAACUGCGGAAAGGCAGUGGAAACUGUCAAGCAAGAGUACGGUAGGGGUAGAGGGAAUUCCCAGUGUAGCGGUGAAAUGCGUAGAGAUUGGGAAGAACACCAGUGGCGAAAGCGCUCUACUGGGCCGUAACUGACGCUCAGGGACGAAAGCUAGGGGAGCGAAAGGGAUUAGAUACCCCUGUAGUCC